UGAAAUAAGUCGCAACGUUGCUUCAGUUUUGUGAGCCGGCUUCAGUCGCCAUUUUCUAGUUCUUUGUCGUGUGUGAAGCUGGUGGUGUGCAUCUGACUCGCCAAGUAUUGGACACAUGAGGCAGCCAUGAGAAUUCCACAAGUUGUGAAGCAGAAAUUGUGGUGUAUCUGCCCUCGUGCUCUCACCUCCAUGCCAGAUGGCCAUUAAGAAGGACCAUAAAUGUGUGGAUUGUGCAGGCAAACAUUGUGGUUCCUUCGGUUUCCAUAGUUAG